CCUACGGGGGGCAGCAGUGAGGAAUAUUGGUCAAUGGGCGAGAGCCUGAACCAGCCAAGUCGCGUGAGGGAGUACUGCCCUAUGGGUUGUAAACCUCUUUUGUCGGGGAGCAAAAGCCGGACGUGUCCGGCUGUGAGAGUACCCGAAGAAAAAGCAUCGGCUAACUCCGUGCCAGCAGCCGCGGUAAUACGGAGGAUGCGAGCGUUAUCCGGAUUUAUUGGGUUUAAAGGGUGCGCAGGCGGAUUUUUAAGUCAGCGGUAAAAUCGUGGGGCUCAACCCCAUCCAGCCGUUGAAACUGGGGAUCUAGAGUGUGCGAGAGGUAUGCGGAAUGCGUGGUGUAGCGGUGAAAUGCAUAGAUAUCACGCAGAACCCCGAUUGCGAAGGCAGCAUACCGGUGCACAACUGACACUCAGGCACGAAAGCGUGGGUAUCGAACAGGAUUAGAUACCCUAGUAGUC
rnacentral:rRNA from 1 species